AUCGGGGCAGACGGUGAUGCCGGCCCUGAGGGAUGAGGCGCUUCGUGUGGGCGCGCAGCCAUGUGCCGCCCUCACCAAGCCCGGCACUGAGGCAGCUGCAGCGGGCACCCAAGUGCUGCGCUUCCCCUCCGACGCUCCUGCACCGCGCGUGAUUUGCAGUGAUUCAACCUCUACGAUGGAGAUAAUACCAGUGGUUGCUAUCUGUAUGCUAUUACUGCAGCCGUCAUGUCUGAUGCGGUGUGCACCAACACAGGUCUGUGCUGCAGCUGCCAGCUACAAAAUGUGACACCAGCUUCUGCGGAUUUAAUUAACAGAGCCAGCAGGAGGUGCACCGUAACAGGAGCAACAGAAUCCACUCGUAACGUAGACACAUGAAAGCACUUUCUGAGAGUGAUAAAAACUCUUGAGUGUCCCUCACAGAGCUUCUUCUGGUCAUGGCAUUGACAGACACCUCUCUCUGAGUCAAGCCACAGGUCCAUCCUCAAGUUCUCCAGAUGAGUGAACAACAGUGGGCUUUUCAGGGUCUCUAAAGGACUUCACGCAGCCAUGUUCACUACGGCACGCAAGGACUUCAUGGAGAAAAUCACAGAAUCACAGAAUCGUCUAGGUUGGAAGAGACCUCCAAGAUCACCCAGUCCAACCUCUGACCUAACACUAACAAGUCCUCCACUAGACCGUAUCACUGAGCUCUACAUC